GGAUUAGAUACCCUGGUAGUCCACGCCGUAAACGAUGAGUGCUAGUUGUCGGGCAGCGAGCUGUUCGGUGACGUAGUUAACGCGUUAAGCACUCCGCCUGGGGAGUACGGCCGCAAGGUUAAAACUCAAAGAAAUUGACGGGGGCCCGCACAAGCGGUGGAGCAUGUGGUUUAAUUCGAAGCAACGCGCAGAACCUUACCAGGCCUUGACAUGUCCGUCAUCGGGACCAGAGAUGGACCCUUCGGUUCGGCCGGACGGAACACAGGUGCUGCAUGGCUGUCGUCAGCUCGUGUCG
rnacentral:rRNA from 1 species